GAUGAACGCUGGCGGCGUGCCUAAUACAUGCAAGUCGAGCGAACAGACGAGGAGCUUGCUCCUCUGACGUUAGCGGCGGACGGGUGAGUAACACGUGGAUAACCUACCUAUAAGACUGGGAUAACUUCGGGAAACCGGAGCUAAUACCGGAUAAUAUAUUUAACCGCAUGGUUCAAUAGUGAAAGACGGUUUUGCUGUCACUUAUAGAUGGAUCCGCGCCGCAUUAGCUAGUUGGUAAGGUAACGGCUUACCAAGGCAACGAUGCGUAGCCGACCUGAGAGGGUGAUAGGCCACACUGGAACUGAAACACGGUCCAGACUCCUACGGGAGGCAGCAGAAGGGAAUCUUCCGCAAGGGGCGAAAGCCUGACGGAGCAACGCCGCGUGAGUGAUGAAGGUCUUCGGAUCGUAAAACUCUGUUAUUAGGGAAGAACAAAUGUGUAAGUAACUAUGCACGUCUUGACGGUACCUAAUCAGAAAGCCACGGCUAACUACGUG
rnacentral:rRNA from 1 species